rnacentral:rRNA from 1 species
ACGGGAGGCAGCAGUGAGGAAUAUUGGUCAAUGGGCGGAAGCCUGAACCAGCCAUGUCGCGUGCAGGACUACGGCCCUACGGGUCUUAAACUGCUUUUGCAAGGGGAUAAAGUGGGGCACGCGUGCCCCUUUGCAGGUACCUUGCGAAUAAGGAUCGGCUAACUCCGUGCCAGCAGCCGCGGUAAUACGGAGGAUCCGAGCGUUAUCCGGAUUUAUUGGGUUUAAAGGGAGCGUAGGCCGUGCUUUAAGCGUGUUGUGAAAUGUAGGCGCCCAACGUCUGCACUGCAGCGCGAACUGGAGCACUUGAGUACGCAGGAAGUAGGCGGAAUUCGUCGUGUAGCGGUGAAAUGCUUAGAUAUGACGAAGAACUCCGAUUGGGAAGCCAGCUUACUGUAGCGCCACUGACGCUGAUGCUCGAAAGCGUGGGUAUCGAACAGGAUUAGAUACCCUGGUA